GACGGAAUAAUUUACAGUCCGAAUAAAUGUUCAGAUGUCAAAGUGGAUAUUUCUGGUGACUCUUUCGUUAUUUGCAUGGAACACAGUUGCUUGGAUACACGACGGGUUAGACAGAUCACAUGAUUUUGAGGAAUGUUAAGGAGUACAUGCUUCAAAUAUCAGUGGAAAUCUACAUUUGGCAGAAAAUUCAUUCGAGAAAAGAUGCACAGAUUUAUUGAUUCCUUUUGACUUAUCUCAUAAACGUAUUGGCAAUUUUACUGCGAAGGAGAUAAAUUAUAUUCGUAGCUUAUUUAGGAAAAUAAACAGCGAAGCUUAUAAAAUUCAACGAUAUAGAGUCAAAAGGCAAGUUCCUGUUGUCACAAACAGUCCAAAUAAUGUUUGGAGAUAUAGACAGGAAGUAAGAACCAAUAAUGGAUAUCAUUUUAAUGUAUAUGCAACCAGAGUCAGGCAACUAAAAGCGACAGGUCAAUAUGAUAUCAUAGCAAAUAUCAAUAGAGUGACAGUAUCCAAGGCUUACGUUGGCAUCAAUUUCCUUCCAUGGCAUCGACUUAUACUGCUUGUAUUAGAAACGGCUCUUGGUGUUCCUAUUCCAUACUACGAUUCAUCCUUAGACCAUGAGAUGGACGA